rfam:Schistosoma curassoni strain Dakar, Senegal genome assembly, scaffold: SCTD_contig0007715
AUCCAGAUGACGAGUCCCAAAUAGGACGAAACAUGCGUCCUGGAU